AUGCAUCGAGCAUCUUUUGAUGCCGCAACACCCAAGUUCAGUGACAUAUUAUUUUAUUCUUCUGAAACUGAAAGAGACUUCACCAUAGACUUUGCACUUGCCGUAGAAUUAUGUGAGGAUACAAGAUAUGGCCCAGACUUUGAAGGUUCCGUAGAUUUUGCAGUGGGUUUCCCACAUAGGCAACUCACAGAUCAAGAUCAAUAUGUUCUUACAAGCGACUUCAGCAUACGGGAAAAGGCACAUUUGAGAACAGUAAGACUCCUUGCGAAAACAAACGAAAUCACAGGAGUUGCAUUUUUAACAAGUUGGAAGACGGUCGUGAAAUCAGGAAUUGGACGGGCUGGGGGACGACUCCUCAUUAAGAGACUACUCUUAAUACCAAGACUUUAG
rnacentral:lncRNA from 1 species